CGGGUGCACUGAUCCAGCCGGGCCUUUCCCUCUGUGGAACCCCAUGGCCUUCACUGGCUGUGGUGGGGAAACAGGACUUUUACUUUGAAAAAAUUAGAGUGCUCCAGGCAGGCCUAUGCUCGAAUACAUUAGCAUGGAAUAAUAGAAUAGGACGUGUGGUUCUAUUUUGUUGGUUUCUAGGACCGCCGUAAUGAUUAAUAGGGACAGUCGGGGGCAUCAGUAUUCAAUUGUCAGAGGUGAAAUUCUUGGAUCUAUUGAAGACUAACUACUGCGAAAGCAUUUGCCAAGGAUGUUUUCAUUGAUAAGGAACGAAAGUUAGGGGAUCGAAGACGAUCAGAUACCGUCGUAGUCUUAACUAUAAACUAUGCCGACUAGGGAUCGGACGAUGUUAUUCUUUGACGCGUUCGGCACCUUUCGAGAAAUCAAAGUGCUUGGGCUCCAGGGGGAGUAUGGUCGCAAGGCUGAAACUUAAAGAAAUUGACGGAAGGGCACCACCAGGGGUGGAACCUGCGGCUUAAUUUGACUCAACACGGGGAAACUCACCAGGUCCAGACACAGUGAGGAUUGGCAGAUUGAGAGCUCUUUCUUGAUUCUGUGGGUGGUGGUGCAUGGCCGUUCUUAGUUGGUGGAGUGAUUUGUCUGCUUAAUUGCGAUAACGAACGAGACCUUAACCUGCUAAAUAGCCCGUACUGCUUUGGCAGUUCGCCGGCUUCUUAGAGGGACUAUCGG
rnacentral:rRNA from 1 species